rnacentral:rRNA from 1 species
UGGUGCCAGCAGCCGCGGUAAUUCCAGCUCCAAUAGCGUAUAUUAAAGUUGUUGCAGUUAAAAAGCUCGUAGUUGAAUUUCGGGGUUAGUAAGUUGGUCAUGCCUCCGGUAUGCACUGGCUUUACUGAUUCCUCCUUCUUGAUGAACUGUAAUGUCAUUAAUUUGGUGUUGCAGGGAAUCAGGACUGUUACUUUGAAAAAAUUAGAGUGUUUAAAGCAGGCAUAAGCUUGAAUACAUUAGCAUGGAAUAAUGAAAUAGGACGUUUGAUCCUAUUUUGUUGGUUUCUAGGAUUGACGUAAUGAUUAAUAGGGAUAGUUGGGGGCAUUAGUACUCAAUUGUCAGAGGUGAAAUUCUUGGAUUUAUUGAAGACUAACUACUGCGAAAGCAUUUGCCAAGGAUGUUUUCAUUAAUCAAGAACGAAAGUUAGGGGAUCGAAGACGAUCAGAUACCGUCGUAGUCUUAACCAUAAACUAUGCCGACUAGGAU